CCUUGAAUAGGCCACUAAAAGCCAACCCUAGGGCCUCUGCACUAGCUGUUCCCUUUACCUGGAGUGCCCUCCCCCUUAUCUUUGUCCUCCGUCACCCAGACAGCAGCUUAGACCGCACCUCCUCAGAGGUCCUUCCUGACCACGGGAUCUAAAGUAACUGAUAAUCACUUUCUGCGACAGCAGCUGGUCUUAAUCCCCUGCACAGCACUUAUUACAGCCUCACAGUUCUCCAGUUUGUUGAUUUUCUUCUCGCCCUUCCUCCCCGCAGAGUGCAAAUUCCCCCCAGCGGGCAGUGGCCGCCGGUCCCCUAGAAAAAUCCCCCAGUGGUCCAGAAGAAGCCUGGCUUAGAGGAGGCGCUGUACACGAUUGCCCAAUGAAUGGCUGGGUCUCUGUAAGCCGGGACAGCCGCUGCCGCGCGAGCGCGCGCGCCAGGCCGUGGCGCUCUCUGUCGAGGGCGCGGGUUUUAUCUCCAAGCGGGUCCCGGGGGGAGGGACGCGAGGAUAACGAGAUGGAUUCGCACAAGCCGGUGGGGGGAGACCCGGGUGCCAGGCGAGGUGGCCGGGGGGGCAGGGUUUGUUUUCUUUUUGCCGCGGAAUCGGCGCCCCCGCCCCGAGUUAAGACCCCAGUGAAAGACCUUCCCCUCCCCAGUGGUCUCCACGUCGCGAGUCACAGAUUCCCUCCCGCAUUCCGGGACGAGCGGUCGGGUUGGCGGGGGAACGGUGCCCUCGGCCUCUCGGGGCAGGGCGGAGGGUACGGGACCCCGAUCCGGGACGGCGGGUGAGGCCCCCUGGCUCUCCUGGGGCACAGACGCCGGCGCCGCAGCCCCCGGCUGGAGUGGAAAACGCUGCAACCUCGGCGCGCUCCGGGCUGGGGACCACGGUGGAGACCGGGGUGGAGGAGGAGCCGGGGGCCGGGAAGCGGACAAAGAGCAGCUCUCCGCCGGGGAGAGCGACCCCCCGGGCCUGAGUCCUAUUGUCCGCCGUAUCUCAGACUAAGCUGGACUCUGGUGCCCUCGGUAGGGAGAAGGGGAGCUGUCCUUCCGACCGUGGGUAUUUGUUUAUUCGGGGCGGGGGACGGCGGGCGGGGCGCGCGGGCCCAGGAAGGGGCUGGGCGCCCUUUUCCACGCGUCUCCUUUAAGGGAAGCCCUGCCCUACCUUUCCCACCGUCCUCCCCCCUCCCCGCAGUCGUACCUGCAUUUUAAAAGCGCCCUGUAGCCCUGGGAUUGGCGGAGGCCGCGUCCUCCGGCCGCAGAAACUUGAACCGCGGAGGGGGGGCGGUGGGCAGCCCGGAGGGUGGGUUGUACCAUCUCCCGCAGCGUCCCCCGAAUGCGCCCCGCCCCCCCACACACCCCCGGGGAGGCCCAAUCGGACGGGCGCGGGGGUGGGACCACGGCUCGAGCGCGCCUCUGGCUGGGCGCCGGACGGGCGGGCGCACAGCGCGGGGGAGACGAGGGGACCCGCCGCGCCUCGGCCCGCCCUCCCGCUCUCUCCCCCCCGG
rnacentral:lncRNA from 1 species